CCUAACCGUAGCCCAAAUGUUAGUGCGCAAGUCUUGAGGCUGUACCCGGAAUUGAAAUGGAUGAGUUCAGGGCAAACAAGCCAGGAAAGGCAGGUACAUAUCCACCACGGGCCCCCCGUGCCUGAGAAGCCCAGCAAGAGAGGCAGCCGCACGUGGAAAAGGAGCCCGGCGCCAUUAUUCCUGAAGGCGCGCGCCCAGCAGCUUCCCAGGACCCGCCAUGCCUAGGCGCUGGGGUUAGGAACUUCAUUAUUUUUUCUUCAAAACCAUUGUUGAAGUACCUUCACUGUUGGAAGGCCUGCGGAUGACUAUGCAGGAAAGACUCACUGAAUAUCCCCUUAUAUUUAAUACAGUGAAACCCUUCCAUGUUUAUGUCUAGGUUCCAGCCACCUCUGUGUCCUUAAAAUUGGAGGUCUUGGCAUAUUUGACCCAAUACACAAUUUGCCGGCAUGGGCCACAACAUUAUUAAUGACCCCAAGGCUAUCCAGAAUUUGACAUCUCAAGAAACAGAAAUCAGUGAAGGAAGACAUAUUAAGAAACACAUCCAUUUACAAAAUAGCAUAAGAACAAUACAAACAAUACAG